AUGUCACUGACAGAUGCAUUCUGUGGGGAUAAAAUGUCACAAGAUUCAUUUAUUUGCUCAUGCUUACAGAGGGCCUGGUCUGGAAUGUUCCACAUCUGCUUUCACUCUGCCAUGGGCUCCUGGAUCCUCUGCUGUGUGUCCCUUUGUAUCUUGGUAGCAAAGCACACAGAUGCUGGAGUUAUCCAGUCACCCCGCCAUGAGGUGACAGAGAUGGGACAAGAAGUGACUCUGAGAUGUAAACCAAUUUCAGGCCACAACUCCCUUUUCUGGUACAGACAGACCAUGAUGCGGGGACUGGAGUUGCUCAUUUACUUUAACAACAACGUUCCGAUAGAUGAUUCAGGGAUGCCCAAGGAUCGAUUCUCAGCUAAGAUGCCUAAUGCAUCAUUCUCCACUCUGAAGAUCCAGCCCUCAGAACCCAGGGACUCAGCUGUGUACUUCUGUGCCAGCAGUUUAGCCACAGCAAUGCAGAAUCACCCCUUUCCUGUGCAGAAACCCUGAUGUUUCCCCUUCUCCUUCUACCUCCCAGCAGUCCUGACCAAAGUCUCUGCUGUUCCUCCCUCCCCAUGAGAAAAAAGUGGUUUGGGGGUGUG